rnacentral:lncRNA from 1 species
AGUUUCUCUAAGGGCCAUAAAUAUCUCCUGACAUGCAAGUUAAAGCAGUUUGAAAUUGCAUAAAAUCCUUGAGGAGAGUAAGGUUUAAUAUUACCUAACCCUUUGAAGAAAUACACAAGACAGAGAAUUAGAAUUAGAGAAUUGUUUAGUGAAAAGAACUUCUGAAACUCUGUAAAGAAAUGAAAGGAAGACAACGGGCAAAAGCUUUUCUUUUCUAAUGUUUGUAAAGUGUAUGAAAUAUAAUUAAGAUAUAACUUCCUCCAUUCUGGAAGGAUGGCUGAAAGGAAGAGGACCAUAUUUGAAGUGAAACUGGAAGCGAAGGCCUCGCCUAUGG